rnacentral:rRNA from 1 species
AUGGAUUGGAACUAUGAUUCAUCUGAUGAGGACUACAGCUAUGAUGAAGAUUCAGAUGGUCAUGUAAGGAAGAGGAAGAGUACAUUCCCAAGAUACAACCCUGAAAGUGAAGUACCACAUUUUGCUUUGACCAUGGUUUUUAGAAGCAAGAAUCAGCUGUGCAAAGCUUUGAGAAGAUAUGGACUGGUAACAAAGAGGAGCAUCAAGUUCAUGAAAUGUGAGUGUGACAGAGUAAGGGCAAAGUGUGGAUGGCCUGGCUGCCCAUGGCUGAUAUAUGCAGCCAAGAGAUCAAGGACUUCAAGAUUCCAAGUCAUAACAUAUAAUGAUGAUCACCAAUGUGCACAGAAUAGAUGCAACAAGUUGGUUACUGCAAAGGUGAUUGCACAGAGGUAUGAGCACUUCAUAUUGGCAAAUCCUAUG